rnacentral:rRNA from 1 species
GAUGAACGCUGGCGGCGUGCCUAAUACAUGCAAGUCGAGCGAACAGACGAGGAGCUUGCUCCUCUGACGUUAGCGGCGGACGGGUGAGUAACACGUGGAUAACCUACCUAUAAGACUGGGAUAACUUCGGGAAACCGGAGCUAAUACCGGAUAAUAUAUUGAACCGCAUGGUUCAAUAGUGAAAGACGGUUUUGCUGUCACUUAUAGAUGGAUCCGCGCCGCAUUAGCUAGUUGGUAAGGUAACGGCUUACCAAGGCAACGAUGCGUAGCCGACCUGAGAGGGUGAUCGGCCACACUGGAACUGAGACACGGUCCAGACUCCUACGGGAGGCAGCAGUAGGGAAUCUUCCGCAAUGGGCGAAAGCCUGACGGAGCAACGCCGCGUGAGCGAUGAAGGUCUUCGGAUCGUAAAACUCUGUUAUUAGGGAAGAACAAAUGUGAAAGUAACUAUGCACGUCUUGACGGUACCUAAUCAGAAAGCCACGGCUAACUACGUG